CCGGUUCACGGCCGGUCCCUCAGGGCCCGUCCCUCACGUACUGUCCCUCAGGGCCGGUCCCUCAGGGCCGGUCCCUCACGGCCCGCUUCAUUUCUGGCUCGAGGUGAAUCCCGCCGUUACCCUCACUUCUGCCUUCCCUGUCCCCCGGAACGCCGGGAUGCGGGAUGCUGUUCCCCCCGCACCUCCCUGGCCCCCCGCCGAGCACCUGGGCUGGCGCGGCGCUGCUGGCGGAGCCGGGGAGAGGCACGGAAAAGAGGGGGAGCUUCGGGAAUGCGGACCCAGGCGCUGCCUCACAAAGUUGUGACUUGCAGAAGCGCAAGGUAAUAGAAGGGAGAAUUCCCCCUCCCUCUCCUGCCAGCUGCCGGUUCGUCGGCUGCUCCCAUCCCGGUGUAAUUCUUCCCCCUAGUUUUCAGUCAUGGAAUAGGUGCCGUUAAAGCAGGAGCUGCUGCAGAGCCUCGGAGGCAGCCCCUAGCCCCGGCUGGGCUGGUUUUGGGGUGCAGACGAGCUGGCAGAGGAGCCGGGGGAGCGGAGGGAGGCUGGAGGAGGCGGCGGGGCUGCCCGGCGUGCCCAGAUGUCCUCGGCAGUACGUGCCCCCAUUCACUGCUCCGUGACUCAUUCCUUCGCUGCUGAAUGGAGGCAAUUGUCACAUCUCCACGGAGCCAGUAAAACCAGGGAACACGCACCGAGCGGCUCCUCUCCGUGCGGCACAAGUCCCCCAUCCCGCGGCCCUUCCCCAGGGCCUCGUCGGCUGAGGCGGCGGGAGGAAGAGGAGGAGUUCAGAGCUCCGGGGAACACCUCAGGGGUCAUUUCGCCCCUCGGGAGACAGAAAGGGCUUGCAAAGUGUGAAUGGGCUGUGGGGCACAACUGAACCCCUUCCAGCCUCCCACAGCAAGAGCAGUGUCAGGAUUUACACCCCAGAGCGGUGCCACGCAGAGCCACUGGGAUCCAGCACGGUCGGCUGGGCCUCCCCCUGCCAACAGCCUUCACCACCGCCCCAUUCCCACUGUUCGCUCCGAUUCCUGCUUCCACGCUCUGUUUUCACACGGAUGGGGACGUUCCAUCCCUCCUGACUUUACACAGGUGUCAUAUUUGUUGCCGAGCACCCGUAAUUUUGGGAGGAGUGUUUGCACUGCAAAUGGAAACCUGUCAUUUCCCUGCGCCUCCCUUCCCCAGCUCAUUCCAUCAACUAAUUCCAUCAGCCAUUGCAGCUGGAGGUUUCACGUCUCCUCUGUUAAAUCAGGACAAUGCUGCUUGGAUUAAAACUAAAACACGCAUCAAAAAUCCCAUAACCACCUACAAUUUCCCCCUUUCUCCCUAAAAUCUCAGCAGGAGCCAUCAAAAGGAGGUGAAUGGUACAGAAAGUGGAAUAUUAAGCCUUUUCCCGUGCUGUGGCACCAUGGACACAAGCAGGACAAACAGAGCCUUCCCUGCUGCACAGCCACAUCCAUUUUUAAAAAUGGGCCUUCUGUGCUUUCUUUUUUCAGCUCCAUCUCCCCAAACCAAGGGAAAGAUGUUCUCAGUUAGCGGGAUUAAAAAGCAAAGUGUGGCACAAGUAUCCUGGCAGCCUCGGCAGCGCUUCCCUAAAACUGUCUGCCACGGGCACAGCUGAAAUGAAGUUGGGAUUUAAUGGCAAAACAACACCAGAAAAUGGAGCUGGGGAAAAAAAAUACCAACCCAAACCCAUCAUUUUUGGAAUGGAUUGAAUGAGAAAGGUCCCCACGGCCACAUGGAGAGGCAGAUGCGGAUGAGGAUGGAAGCUCUGCCUUCCAAUGCUGGGAGAGGCAGGAUGACCACGGGCAGGAGGAGGAUGGAGAUAUCCCACUCCAAAGCUGUCGCUUGGCUGUUUGCACGCUCGGGGCACCAGCUUGUGAUGUCCUGACAAUCAGACCAGACAAACACAGAGCGACGGUUCCCCUCCCGCCCCGCUCCUGGUCCGCACAGCCCGGGAUCUUCUCCUGCCCCUCAGCUGGAGCACGAGAGAACAGCCAUCUGGAAAUUAAUUUGGAACAAAGUCUCCUGGUCCGCGUUCCCCGCCGGAGGGACCGUCAGCAGCUCCCGCGGCAGCGCCGUUGUGCUGACUACACACAGUGUAAUGAUUUCCAUCCAUCUCGGGAGCCCGGGCAGCCUUCCUGGCACACCACACCUGUGCCUGGGACGGACUGCGGUAAUUGCCGCGUCCUUCCCGCUCCCUUCCCGCCAGGACGGCCCUAAUCAAGAUGCAUGGCCGCUGGCAUCCAGCUGCUCCCGCAUCCCUGCUCCGGCCCACACCUUAACCCCUCCUGCUGCGCCUCCAGCCAGAACCAGCGGCACAGCUCCCUCGGGGCUGAGCCAGGGCAGGGAAUUGGGUUGGUUGUUACUGUUGCUGGAUCUGCUCCCCCCACGGGGAGUGAGGCACAUGGGGCUUUAACCAGUUGUAGUUCCCUCAUUCCUGGAUCAGGGAUGGGCUCAGGCCAGAGAGCCGCAGAAUCCCAGAGUGGUUUGGGCUGGACAGGAUUUUAAGGAUCAGCUCAUUCCCACCCUCUGCCACGGGCAGGGACACCUUCCACGGGAUCAGGUUGCUCCAAGGCCCGUGCAGCCUGGCCUGGAACACUUCCAGAGAUGUCCCUGCCCACGGCAGGGCGAUGGAAGAGAGGAUGUGUAAAGGUCCCUUCCAGCCCAGACCAUUCUGGGAUUCACUGGGAUUCUUUGGAAAUGCUCCCACAGGGAAAAAUUCCCUGAGGCAGAAAAAAGGGAUGGUAAUUCAAGACAUCCAGAACUCAGCAGGAUCCUUCUCAGAAACUAAUUUGACCCCAAACCCCUAAUUUUUGACUGAAUUGGACCCUCCUGUGCCUCCCCAGGAGACCCCAAGUGCUCCCAGCCACCAUCCAGGGAAAUACAAUAUCCCAUAGAAAUUGUACUUCUGGGAGAGAAAUAGAGGGACUCCUGCAGCACCUUCCAGCUCUUUACAUGGACUCGGGAAUCUGAGGGAUUAGGGGUGGUUUAGCCCUAUAAGCCCAGCACAGGCUGCUACAAACAGCACUUCAAACUCCUAAUUUCCCAAAAUCUCCAUAUUACCCGGUCAAGAUCUUUAAGCAACCAGCAGAUUUCCCCAGAUUGUUGCCCAGAGCUGUUAAUCCCACGUUUCAUCCUCUCCUGGGGGUUUUGCAGAGGCUGAGAAAUGUAAUCCUAAUUUAAUCCUGACUCUGGAAAGCAGUGGGAAGGUGGAGGGGCAGAUCUGGAGCGGGAAGAUUCCCAUGGGUGAGGCAGCACAGCCAUGGGGUUCAGUGUGAAAGGGCUCCCCAGAAACCCCCUUUGUAUUCCCAAGGUAUUCCCAGGGACCCCACAGCCCUGCCAGGGGGAAAGGCCAUGGGAGAUCUGAGGGACACUGAGGGCUUUACCCCCAGGGCAUCCCAUGUGGAGGUGGGAUGAGAGACGCCAGGGGAGCUGGAGGGUGAGUGGACAGCCUGGGUGUCCCUGAGGACAGUCUUUGAGGCAACACAAGUCCUUCAGUCACUGAUCUGAGCUGAUGCCAAAAUAAAUAUUAUCAGGUCCCCACGGGCCUGACAUACCCUGAA